GAAUCCCCACGGAAACAAGGCUGUCUCAGUCGAUGGUUCCUGGUGGUCAGCAAUACCUACUAAACCCACAGUGUACAAAGAAAGGAGACAGAACUCUAAGUAAAUAAGAAACUGAGCACCUGAUGAGCCCUUUCUCCCAGGGCCAAACAGAAGAAUUUGGCUCCCAGCUCUGCUGCUGGCUUAGGAUGACCCUGGCUCCAAUAUUUAGAAUUUCAAAGCACCAUCCCCUCUAUAAUGUAAAGACAGGGGAUCUGUCACCUCAGCUUCCCCUUCUGGGACCACCCCUGGGGGCACAAAGAGGGUGUAGUACAGAAGGAUGUCCUUACCAGACAUUGUGAGCAAACAGGCGGGGGAACAUGGGAUCUUACAAGAUGUCCCAUUUUCGAAAGAGAAAAGAAUUUUGGAUUUUUGAGGGAUAGAUUUCCCCUACCCCAUUGUGGGCCUGGCAGAACUCUUAAGAAAGGCCUUCCUCUGAGGGACUCUGUGUCUAAGUCACUCGUGAUGCUCGGCACAAACCAGGAGGUGACGCUUCUACCUGUCAAUGUGACUGGAUCCUUCCCAGAGUUAUGGAGUGCCCGUGUCUACUAAAACACGUUUGCCACUUGACUCUGUGGACACUGACACCUACAAGGCCAUGAAUCUAUGUGAGUCAGUCCCUUCUCUGCCCCCAGUACCCAGCUCAGUAACCAGAACCUCAAUAAAAAAUCCUCAGAAUUAAGAAGCAAGAAAUUGGAGACGAUGGCCUAUACCUCUCUCGGGCACUGAAUAAGCAAAUAUUUUAAAGAACAAAACUUCACGAGAAUAUGCCUACUUCCUGAGUAGAGCAUCUAAGGUGACGUCUCUGGUUCUGAGAUACAAAGGAUCUGGGUUUGGAUCACAGCUCCACAACUUACUGGGCCACACUGAGCAUGCUCCAAAGCGACCCUGAGGCCAGAUCUCCUCAUGUGUGAGAAGUCAGGGAGAUGAAGCCCUCGGGCAGGGCCGGACAUGUGGUGACACUUGAUCAAUACAUCUCAGCCAUCGCUGGGAAGUUAUGGCGUCAACUCAACAAUUCAACAGUUACCCUUGAGAGCAAAUC
rnacentral:lncRNA from 1 species